CCUACGGGAGGCAGCAGUAAGGAAUAUUGGUCAAUGGACGGAAGUCUGAACCAGCCAUGCCGCGUGCAGGAAGACGGCCCUACGGGUUGUAAACUGCUUUUGCAGGGGAAUAAACCCCGAUACGUGUAUCGGGCUGAAUGUACUCUGAGAAUAAGGAUCGGCUAACUCCGUGCCAGCAGCCGCGGUAAUACGGAGGAUCCAAGCGUUAUCCGGAUUUAUUGGGUUUAAAGGGUGCGUAGGUGGCCUGUUAAGUCAGGGGUGAAAGACGGUAGCUUAACUAUCGCAGUGCCCUUGAUACUGAUGGGCUUGAAUAAACUAGAGGUAGGCGGAAUGUGACAAGUAGCGGUGAAAUGCAUAGAUAUGUCACAGAACACCAAUUGCGAAGGCAGCUUACUAUGGUUUUAUUGACACUGAGGCACGAAAGCGUGGGGAUCAAACAGGAUUAGAUACCCUGGUAGUCCACGCCCUAAACGAUGAAUACUCGAUGUUGGCGAUAUACGGUCAGCGUCUAAGCGAAAGCGUUAAGUAUUCCACCUGGGGAGUACGCCCGCAAGGGUGAAACUCAAAUGAAUUGACGGNUGNGNGNGCGAGACGACGACGAGGAGAGG
rnacentral:rRNA from 1 species